ensembl:lncRNA novel transcript
GGGCUGAGAUUUAAACCCAGAACUGUCUACUGCCAAAGCUUUUGCGCUCUCCCUCGUGCCACGUUGCUUCUCAUUUUGGGCUUGGUCUCCACUUCCCAGUCCUUGAAGGAGUUCUCCAGGUCUGCCCCAUUAGCACUGCAUCUCAGAAGGAAGCUGCAGCUGCGCCGCCAAUCUCCCGGUGCCCUAACAGUUCAGCUGAGCUGAAAGGAUGAGGAGGAAGCCCUUGGCGAUGGAACUUCUAGACAAGCCAAGGCCUGCCUGGCAGAGCUGGGAGCAGAUUGAGGAAGACACCACUGCCCCUCCACCCACCCCGCCGCCGCCUUCAUGUUGCCUUGAUCUUCUAUCCUCAGCUGACAUUUUUGUCGCUCAUCUCUGAUUGAAGAAACCUCAGUUUCUUAUUUGAUCUUUCCUGGACAACCGUUUAAUAGGCAGCAAGAAAAAGAGAUGAGAGAAAGUGAUUUUUCAUCCCUGACUUGACAUGAUAUUUUCCUUUUAACAAUUUAUCCAUACCUCUCCUCUCAGUUUCUCUCCUUUCAUAUACUCACAUACUAUCUGCCUCUCUGCAUAGCAAAGCAACCUUUUGAGCAGUUCUCUAAGAAGAUUCUAAAAAGCAAGGAAAAAGCAGGAUCACAAUAGCUCCUUCCCCAGUUCAAUUCAGCAAGCUUUUCUGAGCACCAGUCCAGAUGCAAGGCACAAUGAGAGGCAAGAUGAAGAAUGGGGGUUACUCUAUCCUCAUCGGACCAAUUUAGAAUCCAGUACAUGCACAUACAGGAAAAAUCCAAUGUGUUCAUCAUCUGUGUGUUCCAUAAUCAUUUACUGAGCACCUUUUAUCAAAAAGAGAAACCAUUUUUAAAGUAAACUGGAUUCUCUAUUAUAACAACAGUGAAGUUUGGCAAAAUGUUUUCCUCAUGUGAAGGCUUGAAUUUAAAGAAUUUUAAUUUAUGUUCAUUAUGAUUCAAUCCAACAUUUGUCUUUUUGUAUGUAUUAGAUCUUGCGAGGGACACAAAGAUAAUCAAGUUGUGGAUCUAGGUCUUAAGACGUAUAAAAUUGAGUGGGUCUAUGUCUUCCAAUACACAAAGUCAAGUGGAGAGACAUAAAUAACACUAACUUCAGUGCAAUGUAUACUAAAGGAUACGGAAUGACUUAUUCAGCAGCUACUAUGUGCCUGGUGCUUUACCCAUAUGAUUAAUAAAGCAUCUUUUGGUGAUAUUUACUGUUCAUGUAAUCUAUGGUCUAAGCCUGGUGACAUGGUCUUGAGAGGGAUACAAACAUGUAAUUACAAUGUAACAGGAAGUAGUGACAGGGAAAAUAAGAGAGAAUAGCCGGGACAUCUAAUCUGAUUUGGCAAAUCAAAGAAGGCUUCCAGGAAGAAGUGACUUCUGAGCUGAGUCCUGAAGAAUGAGUCAUCCAAAUAAAUCAGAGGAGGAGAUUGUUUUUGGCAGCAAAAAUAACAUGCACAAAGUCCCAAAGGCAGCGGGGAGACUUAUGUUCCUCAUCCAAUAAGAGAGGAAGCUGAGGUUCCAAUGAGUUAUUUAACUUACCAAAGAUCACACAGCUGGUGAUUGACCGAAGUUGGAUUUGGAUCUGGCGUGAGUAUCUUCCACCUAUAAAUGUUAAUAACAGAGGAAGAGAGAUAGAUUUUGAUUGAUGACAAUAGGGAAGCCUUUGUUAAAUUGGGUUUUGAAGAACGAAGUAAAAAUGGAAAGGGAAGAAUUGACAGAAACCAAGAGAGUGUUGAGGGGCAGCAAAUCCCAGUUUGACUGGAAUAUAGAGUGAUGUCAGGGUUGGAAGGAGGUGCUUUGAAAAAUUAAGUUGGAAAGAUGGAAAUGUUUUAGAUGGAAAGACCCAUCAAUCAAGUAAAAGAUACUUCAUUCCCACCGCAGGAUUAAGUCAAUAAGGCACUGGACACUUUAAGUGUCAGAGGAAAAGAGAAGACAAAAUACUGAACACUGCAGUAUAGCGACAGAGGAGCCCUGUAAUGACAGGCACUCCUCUGACCUGAGGUGAAUGAACACAGAAUCUUCAAUGUGUCCAAGGGAAGGGGACCCAGAGCUACUGGUAGACUAUCACUCCCAGAAUGCCUUUCAGUGAUCCACUUUCUUAGCCCACACUUCCUUCUAUUCUUCUUCCUUUUUUUUCUUUGUUCCUUCUUUCCUCCCUUACUAUCAAAAUCAUAUUUGAAUCUAUUGUUUCUUGGGAUAGAUAUGUCUGCUUGAAUAACAAAGAGGCUUUAUAACAAAGUCACCAAGAGAACAAAUUGCUUCAAAACCAGGUUUGAUGGACUAUCUUAAUGUAUGUUGGACUUCUCAUGAUUGUGUCUGGCUACCAAGCAAAUAAUAGUAAAAAAAUUAAAAC